rnacentral:rRNA from 1 species
CUACGGGAGGCUCCAGGCGCGAAACCUUUACAAUGUACGAAAGUGUGAUAAGGGGAUUCUAAGUGCUUACACUUUGUGUAGGCUUUUGCCAAAAGCAAAAACUUUGGCGAAUAAGUGGUGGGUAAGACUGGUGCCAGCCGCCGCGGUAACACCAGCGCCACGAGUGGCAAUCACUAUUAUUGGGCCUAAAGCGUUCGUAGCUGGUUUAGUAAAUCUUUUGUGAAAUUGCUGAGCUUAACUCAUCAGCGUGCAGAAGACACUGCUAAACUUGGGACCGGGAGGGGUCAGAGGUAUUCUUGGGGGAGCGGUAAAAUGCUAUAAUCCCUUGCAGACCACCUGUGGCGAAGGCGUCUGACCAGAACGGAUCCGACAGUGAGGAACGAAAGCUAGGGGAGCAAUCCGGAUUAGAUACCCGAGUAGUC